CACUGCUCAGGCGUUACGAGGGCGGAGACGCCGCGGCAACUCCGCGGCAGUUGUCGCGGAUCCCGCACAACUGCCGCAAGCAUCGCGGAGGUGAACGGGCCACGACCAAUUCGAAGACCGCCUAUAUAAAAAAAUAUAAAAAAACCCGAAAGCUCACCAGUUCGGGACCCCCCCUCCCCUCACGGUUUCUCUUUCCCCUUCUUCCCUCAGGGUUAGGGCUUCCUGAACCCACGUCGAUGUCGCCGAAGAUGGUACUCGCAGCUUCCCCAGAGCUAGAUAAUUAAGAUUGCUAAAAGCAAGGAGCUCGACGUACUUCAGGGUUUGGGAAAAUUGAAUAUCAAAUGUUAAAAUUUUAGAAGCUCUGUACCGUUCCAUUCCGAUGAAACUUGUUAUGACAUUUGUAAAUAAAAAACUGUUCAUUUUUUUUAUGAAAUUUUAAGUGGCUUCGUAUUAUUGUACGCAUAAGGUUGCAAUAGUACGACCGUGUUAUGAUCCAGAUUCGGGACGUGACACCUUGUAUUUGAAACA